rnacentral:lncRNA from 1 species
CCCCUCCCCUAUCGUGAACCCGCCGCCGCCGCCGCCGCAGGAGGAGGAGACGCGCCAAGGAGAGCACGCGAGGAGGCGACCAUGAGGGCCAAGGUAUCCUCCAUCCAUCUCCGCGCCUACUCCUCGCGCCUACCAUCUCGUCGAUUAGAUCCGUGUGUGGCGUAGCAACUCGUUGCCACGAGUAGUUCUCAACUCGGUUCGUCCAUGUCCCGGGGCUGUGAUUACAAAGAGAGAGGCUCGAGUGGCGCAAUUCUGGGGUGGAAUCUCUUAUGGGACGGCGGAUCUCGCCGUGCGCUCGUGGACGCCCCCCUCGUCGCGGCGGCCGGGUCUGGAUCGGUAGCUUGGGACGCGAGGUGCCGCUCUGCGCGAGGCUGAUCCUUAGACCAGUCUCAAUGCAUAGGGCCUUGUUUAGAUGCACAUGUUUCGAGCCGAGCUGUGACAAAUCGUGUCGCGCAGAGCUUGGUAUCUCUGUGUCCCGUGCAUCGUUUCCGCAUGGUCCAGCCGCUGCGGUCUCGGAGGCGUCGCGUGCUUGUGGCGCCGCCGUCUUCUAGGGUUCUUCCCUGGCCACGGUGAAGGUUUCUUAAUCGCAUACACUUGAUAUGAGCCCCGUGGAUGAUGGCCUUAAGCCUCUGCUUGUGAAAUGUUGUUAGGAGAUUGAAUUGCAUUUCUAGCAGCAUCUGAUGGUGACUGUAGUCCUUGCUCUAAAUUUUUAAAGAUUUAGAUGCUUUGUUACUUAUGAUUUGUUUGCACUGGAAUCUGCCUGGCACCGUAAAUAAGCAAUUGCACGUUGAUGCUUAUCAGUGUUUGUCAUUACUAAUGCUUAUCAGUGCAAUUGUACUGGAAUCUGCCUGGAGAGAUUUUUGUUCCGUGUUUACCUUUAAUCUGUGGAAUUGUCUACUUCCUCCACUUAACCUGCAGCACAAAAAGGUAGUAUGUUGCCAGGCACUUAAGAUAAGAAUUCUGUUUUGUAGUUAAUUGAAAAUUGUGUGAUGGACAGGAUAAGGAUAGCCCCGUUCUUUUGCAUAGUUGUUAGAUGUAUUCCUUACAGUAUGUCUUUAAUUGUCUUGUACUCCCUCAUUUCAAAACAUAAGCUGUUUUGGCUUCUCUAGGUACAUUGCUUUUGCUAUGUAUUUAGAUAUACACUAUAUCCAAGGGUAUAGUAAAAGCCAUGAAUCUAGAAAGCCAUAAAGUCUUAUAAGUUGGAAUGGAUGGAGUAUACAAGAAUGGUCCUGUUCUUCUUCAUUUUAGUUAGUUGCAUUCUUGUCUAUGCUGUGCUAUUAUUUUUCCUCUUAUCUAAUGCUCACUCAACUAAUGCAUUCUUAUCUGUCAAUCUUCAGUGGAAGAAGAAGCGCAUGAGGAGGCUGAAGAGGAAGCGCCGAAAGAUGAGGCAGAGAUCUAAGUAAGCUGGUGGAGAUGGAUGGUGGACGUGAUGGCAUGCUUGAGUACAUACAUUUCUUCGGAUGCGUUUGCUCAUGGAGAGGCGUGAACCUGGUGUGCAGUCACAGUUUGCCAUCUGUCAAUUGGCUUGUCUCGGAAACCUGCACUUCAGUAGGCUAUCGUGGUUCUAGUUAUAUCCAGAGUUUUGCACUAAGACAACUCGGUCUGUUUUGUGAACCUAUUAUGAUGGAGCUUUAUUUGCUGCUAAUAUCGACCUACCUAUCUACCUACCUGUUAAGUAAUUCCUGUGUUUGUUUAUGCUGUGCUUGCCUGAUCUUUCAUUGUGUUAUUGUGGUAUCUGCUCGUUGGUGCUGGUUUAUCUGGCCUGUUUCUGUAAAUCAUCAGAGAAACAGCGUCCUGCUGUGUUGAAGAGCACACCGAUCGCUAUGCUUCACAUUGAAGCUGAUGCUCAACAUUGACUCAUAGUCUCAUACAAGCAUUGAAGCUAUUGUUCAUUCUAUGACCGACAGUUUCUCUAUAAUGGUGCAUAUGAACAUUGAAGCAGACAACAUAUUUUGCAGCUCGAACCUCUGUUGCCAAGCUGAUGCUCUACAUCGAUUUUAAUUGCAGUAACGGUUUGCUGCUGUGGCACGUCUGCGUAUCUCUGACGUUAAACGUACCGCGAGGUUGUUUUGGUCUGCGAUCCAGUGUUACCGCGAGAUGGUUUUGUUUUAUCAUCAAUUUUUUUUCUUUGUGUGUGCAAUGCCUCGGUUCGCUGUAGGCCUGAAGCUAAAAACCAAAGUCCCAUUCUGACUCUGAUACUCGUUCUGAAUUUUUUAUUUUUUAUUUUUUAAAAAUAUUUUAAAAAUCACUUAUAAAAGGAAAUGGUUUUCGUUUUUAUUUUUUAAAAGUCCCAUUGUGUUGUUUAAACAUUUGCUAGUUUUUUUUUGAGGGGAUUAAACAUCGUCUUAUCAUCUAGUUGGACUGGCCAACCAAAGGAAAUGCACAAUCUACGGUCCAUUUCAAAACCGCGAGCGUGGACUAAUCAAGCCCACGAUAGGACCUUUCGUUUAGGCCCAAGUCCAACCGAAGGCUCACUAACCAAAUGCAAUGCCCUAUUCGGCCCAAUUAAGGCCCAACGCCGUCUCGCUCAUGUCUCUCUCC